UCGAGAAUCUUCGGCAAUGGGCGCAAGCCUGACCGAGCGACGCCGCGUGGGGGACGAAGGCCCUCGGGUUGUAAACCCCUGUCGAGGGGGAACAAGGCCGCGCGAAGAGCGCGGCUCGAGUGAUCCCUGGAGGAAGCACGGGCUAAGUUCGUGCCAGCAGCCGCGGUAAGACGAACCGUGCGAACGUUAUUCGGAAUCACUGGGCUUAAAGCGCGUGUAGGCGGGCCCGAACGUCGGCCGCUGAAAUCCCCCGGCUCAACCGGGGAACGGGCGCCGAUACGGCGGGCCUCGAGGGGCGUAGGGGGGCCGGGAACUUCCGGUGGAGCGGUGAAAUGCGUUGAGAUCGGAAGGAACGCCCGUGGCGAAAGCGCGGCCCUGGACGCCCACUGACGCUGAGACGCGAAAGCCAGGGGAGCGAACGGGAUUAGAUACCCCCGUAGUCC
rnacentral:rRNA from 1 species